GUUGUUUUUUUUUUGGAGUGAAUGCAUUCCAGGAGUGUAGCAGGGCCUGGGAAAUCCUCUGUGUUUGCUGAUAGGAGGAGGGAAAAGGCUUCUGAAAUACUGAAGGUUUCUGAGCACUGCAGUUGCUCAGCUUCUGCCAUCAAAUCACAUUCAAUUUAGGAGAGUCAUGCAGGUAUUUUAUAAUCGUUGACAAAAAGCAGCCACUGGGUAGCUGAGAAGCUAUACGUGUGUGCAUAAUAUAUUAUUUUUUGGUGGUAGCACUAGCAUCCAUGGGAAGCCACUUUAGGUAGAUUUAAGAGGAUUCUGUCCAACUGUGAUACCGAUGAAUAACAGAAAUAAUCUAAUAUUACUCUUUGUAUACCUGUGUUACCAGUGCUAUUACAAGUCAUACCAUUGAUACACGGUGCAGGAGGAACUAAGCACUUCAGAUGCACUGGGCUGUAAUGGAGUGAGAGCUGGACACCUGUAUGCAGAUCACUACAUGAGACACUGAAACCAGUAUCUCUCCUUGAACCAUUUCUCAUCUUACUUUCCAUAGGUGGACAGAAACGAAAAGAGAAAGAGCCAGCCAAGUUAAUGGGAAUAGUCCCUUUUAUAUCCUCUUUCUCUGCCUCUUGUGCACUCAGAACAGAGAGAGCCAUCAAUGGCAUCACUCCCAUUGAAACAACUAAAAUUAACAAGUCCAAAUCCUUCCUAUCCAAGCGACCACGAAUGCAGCUGGAUCAGAAGCCCUCGGUUAAGCAGCUCCUGAAAUUCUACCAGAAGUUUAUUAGUAUGGUAAUUUAUCUGGAAAUCAAUGGGCGGAUGAUGAAGCGUUCCCUGCAGCUAUAAACGAAGAGGUUGAGCACAUUUAGUGCUGGAGAGAUCUGACUGUGCAAUUGCUCCCAGGCUCAGCACAAGGAGCUGCUGGAGUGCUGCAGGACAAGGAGAAUCACACUCUGGGCUGAGAAGCCAGGCAAAGUGCUGGUCCUCCUGCACACAGCGAGAGAGGCUCCUGCAAAACCAAGGUCUGCCCGGUGAUGACACUGUUGGCCUUCUAUGGAGUGCCAUCCUGGUUUCUGGUGACGUCUC
rnacentral:lncRNA from 1 species